rnacentral:rRNA from 1 species
AGAGUUUGAUCCUGGCUCAGGACGAACGCUGGCGGCGUGCUUAACACAUGCAAGUCAAGGCGGUAGCAAUACCGACUGGCGCACGGGUGCGGAACACGUAGGCAAUCUGCCCUUUGGGGGAAGACAACCUGUCGAAAGAUGGGCUAAACUUCCGUAACAUCUUUGGUAGGCAUCUACCGGAGAUCAAGCUUUCCAAGGGAUGAGCCUGCGUCUGAUUAGCUAGUUGGCGGGGUAACGGCCCACCAAGGCUACGAUCAGUAGCUGGUCUGAGAGGAUGAUCAGCCACAUUGGGACUGAGAUACGGCCCAGACUCCUACGGGAGGCAGCAGUGAGGAAUAUUGCUCAAUGGGGGAAACCCUGAAGCAGCAACGCCGCGUGAGGGAUGAAGGCGCUUUGCGUUGUAAACCUCUGUAGUUGGAGACAAAACUCUCUCUACUGAGAGAUUGAUGGUAUCCAAAAAGUAAGGAUCGGCUAACUACGUGCCAGCAGCCGCGGUA